rnacentral:rRNA from 10 species
GUAGAGGACAAUUACCAUCCUGAAUGCACCCCAUCUGGUCUGAUCUCGGAAGCUAAGCAGGGUUGGGACUGAUUAGUACUUGGAUAAAGAUUUUUUAAACCUAUUAUACCACUAUC